CAUCAGCUGCAGCAGACUCAGUCUCUGGCUGGGGGUGGGGAAGGUGAAACAAGAAAUUGCUCUCUCUCCCUCUUUCUUCCCCCCCCUCACCUCUGGUCGCCAUAAGUCGGGAUUGGCUUGAAGGCAGUCCAUUUCCAUUUUCCAUCCAUGCUCCCUAAGCCAGUGAGACGGAAUGACCUUGUCACUUCAGUUGGACCUGGGAACACUCUCUUUUAGCACAGAUACAGACUGGGGAAGAUCUCUGCUGAAAAGGCUUGCUGGAAGAGGAAGGUUUUCAGUAGGUGCCGCAGGCUGAGGGAACUGAAGCUGAGAAGAAAAAGCCCUCAGGGCAGCUGGCUCCUGGAAAGGGUUAUCCCUGCAAACGGCCACCAGACAGAGACUCGGAACUAUGAAGAGAAAAGAGUCCUCCUGCAGCCUUUUCAAGCACACCUGAUGCAUUCAAUGAGAUCGAUUCAGAGCAAGUAGUUCAGACUACAUGGUAGCUAACAGUUGAUCAGUCUAUCGUUUCAAUACCUGUCUUAUCUGAAUAGCUGCAGCACUAGGGGGACUGAAGAAGACCUGCCCUGAGAAAAUGAAGUCUGGCUUGUCACACUUGCUACUGGGCAAAAAAGAGACUCUGUGAAACCUGAGCUUGGAAGGGGAAUGGUUUUAAUCUCCAGCACAUCCUGUUCAGUCAGCCUGCUUACUCAGGCAGGUGAAUGCAUUAUGUGGGCUGCACAUCAGCAGGAAAAGAAAGGCCUAUAGCAUUCCAUGGUGCCAGAAAAUGCAAUGAUGGAGCUGGAGGAAUAUCAUGAGGAAAAAAGAGACUAAGAGGCGAAGAGGAAAGUGGGAUAAACAAAGACUGUUCUCCUGCCUGGAGAACUUGACUCCCUCUGCCUUGUCCCACAGAGAUUAUACUCCCACCCUAUUUGCUGUGCAUCUCUAUAGCAGUAGUCCUAAUGGUCAUUUAAAAGGUCCUGUGCAUCCAUUCUUAGAGGGAGCACCCGAAUCACCUGCUUGUUGGUCAUUGGCAAAAGUAUCAAAAGGGCACACCACUUUGUUAUGAGAAAGUGGCUGCUAAGAAGACAUGCUUAAGGACUUGAAUGGCUGGGAGACUUUUAACAAGAUCAAUGCCACCUCCAGAAAAGAUUACAUGCUAUGCUAGGCAGCAAAUAGACCGUUGCUGCUGGAUUUGGAAACCAUUUAUAAAGCCUAUUAGGGAUAAUAAAGCGGACUAGCAAAGAAUGAAAGAAAACCCCCUAUCUACUCACAGCAUGCUUCUGGCUUUUGGAUUCUCUCCCCCCCUUCCUUGUAUUGA